rnacentral:tRNA from 1 species
GCGGACGUGGUGAAGCGGUUAACACAGCGGGUUGUGGUCCCGUCACGCGCGGGUUCGAAUCCCGUCGUCCGCCCCA